AUGGCUACCUACUUGCCCCGGGGGGACAGUCAUGGCCGCUGUGUCACAUCAUUCCUGGGCCACACUCAAUUGCACGUGUGUCUUCUCUGUGAGCCGGGGCUUACACCUGAAGGCUUGCAGUCCACACACAACCCUCAUGCUUUGGCUGUGUUCCCAGCGGACAAGUUCAUCUUCAAGAAAACUAAGAGAUCUCUUCCCCUGAUAAAAAACAACUCCACGUUUGAUGGGACUCAGACCUGGGCUCUUCUGUCACCUCUAGGUAGGGAGGUAUUGGAGAGCAAGUUUAGGAGUCACCCUACCAAGUGGGUAUGAUGAUGAAGGUGAGCUGCUAAGAAAGAGGUUGAGAGACAGCUGAUGUUUGUUUCAAGCCAAUCUUCUUCAACCCCAGGCACCAGGAGCAGAGGGCCAGUGGAUAAAGAUUAAGUAGGAUGGAAUCUGCAAUAAAGCCAAAUGUGUGGGUUGUAUUGCUGAUCUU
rnacentral:lncRNA from 1 species